UACGAAGGGGGCUAGCGUUGUUCGGAAUCACUGGGCGUAAAGGGCGCGUAGGCGGCUUUAUAAGUCGGGGGUGAAAGCCUGUGGCUCAACCACAGAAUUGCCUUCGAUACUGUAUGGCUAGAGACCGGAAGAGGUAAGUGGAACUGCGAGUGUAGAGGUGAAAUUCGUAGAUAUUCGCAAGAACACCAGUGGCGAAGGCGGCUUACUGGUCCGGUUCUGACGCUGAGGCGCGAAAGCGUGGGGAGCAAACAGG
rnacentral:rRNA from 1 species